UGUCUGAUGCACAGGAAAGGGUACAAACUUAAGUCAGUGCUUCAGUGAGUGCGUUGAUUUGACCAGAAGAACCAGAGUUUUCCUAUUGUUGCCCCAUCACUAGCUGCUCCAGAAACCAGGUCUCAUUAUAUAUACUUAGAGGCAAAUAUACAGCACUCUCUUUCAGACUGAUGGUCAGAAAGAUUCUGGGCUUAGCAAAGAAGCAGAUAAUGAGAGGAAAAAUCAAGGAGAGCAGAGUUGGAGUCAAUUCAUCGUUGUUAAGAAUCUUCAUGGCAGAAACGCUGGCAGCACCAGCCGUGAGAUUCCAGUUGAAGGUGAAAGGAAGAAAGUCUUAUUUUCAUCCUCCUGGAGAAAUAAGGACUACAAAUGGAUUGGACCUGGGGAAAAAAUGUGCUGGAAUUUCUGUGUUGGACUCCUGGACUUCCACAAAGGCUCUCUUGUCUUAGGGACAACUGCAUAAAGGCAGGAAAUACAGUCAUGCUCACCACAAUAUUUAUAUUGUUUGGCAUAAGAUUAAAUUAAAUGAGAACAAAUAUAGGUCACCUGAUGAAGUACCAAGUACAUAUUUGGCAACAUAUGAAGGGACUUUCUGAGACACCAUAUUCUCUCUGAAGACCACAGCCAGGAUCCUAGAAAGCUGGCAGAGGCCAACGGAGGCAACUGUUUGAACCUGCCCUUUGGAACUCAG